GGCCCCGACUCGCCCUUCUCCCCAUCAGGCUCCGCCCCCAGCGCACGCUCAGCCCCGCCCCCCACCUGCUCUCGGGGGCCGCCUCCCCCGAAGCAGCGCCCCACGCAGUCCCUCCCGGCUGCCAAAUGGGCUACUCCUCUCCUCUGAGCCCGAGCUUCUGAAAGAAAACAAAGUUACUGAAAACUCAGACUUUACAGAAAUGCACAAAUUAGAAUGGAAGGAAUCACCAAAGCCCCACCUCCAGAUAAACUUGUACAGACGCCAAUCUGGUAAAUCGUCAUUGCUUAUUUUGAAAAUAAAUGGUUUUACACUUUGCUGGGACUGUGGUGACAGCACCACAAAAUUGGUG
rnacentral:lncRNA from 1 species